rnacentral:ncRNA from 1 species
UUCUGCGAAAAUAACGUAACUUGCAGCACGUAUAACGACCGGCAGUUCAGGGAAAGCGGUGAAAAUCCGUUACAACCCCGUUACUGUUACGGCUACGAAAGCUCGAUAAUACCACUGUUUCGCUCCUUCGAAUACUCGGGGGACGGGACGGGAAGGUGAGCAAGUAGGCAUGAUGCCGAAGUCAGGAAACCUGGUGUCGGUUGUUCAGGCUG